GGGGGUACAGCUCGGUGGUAGAGAGCAUGCCUAGCAUGCACCAGGUCCUGGGUUCAAUCCCCAGUAGCUCCA
rnacentral:tRNA from 1 species